AUUGAACGCUGGCGGCAGCCUAACACAUGCAAGUCGAGCGGGGUUUUCGGACCUAGCGGCGGACGGGUGAGUAAUGCGUAGGAAGCUGCCCGAUAGAGGGGGAUACCAGUUGGAAACGACUGUUAAUACCGCAUAAUGUCUACGGACCAAAGUGUGGGACCUUCGGGCCACAUGCUAUCGGAUGCGCCUACGUGGGAUUAGCUAGUUGGUGAGGUAAUGGCUCACCAAGGCGACGAUCUCUAGCUGGUUUGAGAGGAUGAUCAGCCACACUGGAACUGAGGCACGGUCCAGACUCCUACGGGAGGCAGCAGUGGGGAAUAUUGGACAAUGGGCGCAAGCCUGAUCCAGCCAUGCCGCGUGUGUGAAGAAGGCCUUCGGGUUGUAAAGCACUUUCAGCGAGGAGGAAGGGGUGUGUGUUAAUAGUACACACCUUUGACGUUACUCGCAGAAGAAGCACCGGCUAACUCUGUGCCAGCCGCCGCAGUAACAC
rnacentral:rRNA from 1 species